UGGCGGGGCCGACCUUGGUCGU
rnacentral:misc_RNA from 1 species